CACCCUCACAAUCCGUUCUCUGCCAUAAAAUGCUGAAGGGAAGCGCUUUACAUUAGCACUGUCACCAGCUGCUUCGCCAAAGCCUCCUGAGUCUGGGGGAGAUUUUGGCACCGCAUCUGAUGGAAGCUGCCGCCUGCAAGGAAACCCCGAGGCGUGCUCGGGCGAGCUGCUGCACUGCUCGUGACAUCCUGAGGCUGGUGAUGGAGCCCAACGGCUCGGGACGGGGCUGCAGCUGCCUGUCGCUGCUGCGCGCACGCUGCUGACUCAGAGCCGAGCGCCAGCAGCCCGCGGAGCAAGCGAGGAACCGGGCUUGGACUUUGUCCCCGGGGUGUCAGAGCCUCGUGCCGGCACCCGAGGGACGCCAGGAGGGCUGUGUGCCCCCCAGCAGGGACCUAGCGAUUAGCACUGGGGAUAUAUGUUACCACUUUCUGUUUUUUCUUUCGGUUUUUCAUGAGAAGAACAGACUGCGGCCAUGCAGACGGAAGCAGACUGCCUGAGCCCAGAAGCUCAGAAACUGGCUGAAGCGAGGCUGGCGGCGAAGCGAGCAGCACGGGCAGAGGCACGGGAGAUCCGAAUGAAGGAGCUCGAGCGGCAGCAGAAGGAGCCUUCAGAGUACAGCUGCUACCUUGGGUCAGGAUCUCGGGCAUCUUCAAGAGCCAGCUCUGCUCGAGCCAGUCCGGUGAUCGAGGAAAGGCCAGAAAAAGACUUUGAGAAGGGAGCACGGACCGUCUCGAGUUUAUCAGCAGCUACAUUAGCUUCUCUAGGUGGGACAUCUUCACGAAGAGGCAGUGGGGAUACGUCCAUCUCAGCAGAUACGGAGGCAUCUAUUAGAGAAAUAAAGGAUAUCUAUGAGUUAAAGGACCAGAUUCAGGAUAUAGAAGGCAAAUACAUGCAGGGACUGAAAGAAAUGAAGGACUCUUUAGCCGAAGUUGAAGAGAAAUAUAAAAAGGCUAUGGUGUCAAAUGCUCAAUUAGACAAUGAAAAAACAAAUUUCAUGUACCAAGUAGAUACCCUGAAGGAUGCCCUGUUAGAGUUAGAAGAACAGCUGGCAGAAUCCAGGAGGCAAUAUGAAGAAAAAAGUAAAGAAUUUGAGAGAGAGAAGCAUGCUCAUAGCAUAUUGCAGUUUCAGUUCAUGGAAGUCAAAGAGGCUUUGAAGCAAAGAGAAGAAAUGCUUGCAAAACAUGGAAUAAUCCCAGACUCUGACGUAGCUACCAAUGGGGAGACGUCUGACAUACUUGAUAACGAAAGACACUUGGAUUCUUCCAAAACUGUUCAAGGCACAGCACAGGCGUUAAAGACAGCAGGGGACGGGAUGUUAGGCAAAGCCAAUGAAGUGGACAUGAAAAAUGAGAUUUUGGAGGAUGUGGGGAAAAGAGAAAUCUUGCAGAAUACUGAGCAUGAGGAACACAAAGAGGAGUCUGAGGAGCAGGAAGUACAGACAUUGCAUGCUGAUGAAAACACAGAGGCAGAAAAAGUGAUUGAAGAAACCGAUGCCGGGUCAACAGCGAUGUUACCAGAUAGUAGGCUUACAGAACAAAACCAAAGCCUUGCAGAACCCGUGUCAGGGAAUGCUUCUUCAAACUGUGAUAGUGACGCAGAUGAUUUGAGAAAGGAGACAGAGUCAGCAGACACAGCAGCCCAACAGCCUGUUAGCGAGGAGGCUGAAUGCAGUAACUCACAUCCAAGGACAAAUCAGACCUCAGAGGUGGGCUCAGUGCAGGGUCAGGAUUUUGAGAGUCCUCAGGAAAUGCCCAGAGACUUAGGUACAGAGCAUGAACUGGAAGAAGCUGCUCCAGAACAGGAAGAACGAGAGGAUGUGGAAACUAGCCAUGCACUGAGUGCUAAUGACAUGGAACAAGCAGCUGACACUGCAAGCUGUGAGUUCGUUUCUGACCAGCCAGGGCUACCAGAGGCUGAAGUAGCAGGCUCCCUGAGCGAAGAGGUAAAUGUGGACAGUCACCUUGAGACACUCCAGCAUGUGGAAGAAAGUGCUGAGAACAAAGUUACAAAUGUCUUGGAGGAAAAGCUCCUUGAAAGCAAAGACUGCACUGAUGGGACAGCUGAUGAGAAGGGAGGUGAUAGAGCUGAAGAAGAAGACGAGGUGGGGAAUGCAGUUCAGGGUCAGGCAACAGAAAGGGAUUCUGUGGGUUUGGAGGGGAAAGAGUCCCAUGAAAGUGGUGUCCCAGCAGAUAAAAGUGAAAAAGAGGAGGGAGGAGAUCACGCAUGCAUUCAGCCACCUUCUUCAGAGGAUGCUCAUUUAGCAUUGUUAGAGGAACAGAAUAUGCAAGAGAGAACAGAACUUAAAGCUGCUGAGAAAGACGGACAGAAAGAAGUAUUGAUGGAAAACUUGGAGGUGUGUGCAGAUUCUGCAGGAGCAGGCAAGCAGGAGGAAGCACCUGCAGAGUCUGUGGGCUCUGUUACCGAGGUGAAAGGAAGCGUGCUGCAGCAGGCAGAGCCAGACCCAGACGUUGUGAAAGAAAUGGCAUCUCAGGAAAGCAGUUCAGACCCAAGGGUUUUAGAUGACAAAAUUCAGGAAUCAGAAGUGGAAAUACAAUGUGAGUCUGGGAAAAGAGAGGAAAGUAGGGCAGAAUGGGUGGAAGACUUAGAACCAAAGGUGGAACUUCAGACAGUUCAGUGUAGUAAAGACACAACAGGAGAUACAGUGGGAGAGAAAAAUAGUUCUUCAGAAGAUGAAGCACAGAAUGCAGGUAAGCAAGAGGAAGGUGAAGCACAGAAUGCAGGUAAGCAAGAGGAAGGUGAAGCACAAAACGUAGUGAAGCAAGAGGAAGGUGAAGCACAAAACAUAGUGAAGCAAGAGGAAGGUGAAGCACAAAACAUAGUGAAGCAAGAGGAAGGUGAAGCACAAAACGUAGUGAAGCAAGAGGAAGGUGAAGCACAAAACGUAGUGAAGCAAGAGGAAGGUGAAGCACAAACUGUAGUGAAGCAAGAGGAAGGUGAAUCUAAAGAGGAGUUAACUGUAGAUCUUAGUGGAACUAGUGAAAACCAAGCUGAUAAAGAAAUAUUGAAAGAAGAUGAGAAACAGUUAGAGUUUGCAAACCCCCAUGGUGAUGGAUUUGCUCCUGAGGAUGAUGCAAAUAAUUGUCUUGCACAGAAAGCUGAGAUAGAUGAAAAUAUUGGUGAGCGAGUUAGCUUGGAGGCUCAAGCAGAGGAAGGACUAGAAGAUGAUGGUGACGCAUUUGACUUCGAUGAAGAAUCAAAACAGAUACUCGAAACUGAUGAAAAAUCUGAUGGAGAGAAAGUUGAUACACAGAGUGGAGAGGAUGAUGGAGCAAAUGGCGUGGUCAAAAAAACUGUCGAAGCAAGUGAAGCUGGAAAAAGAACAGGUGAAAUAGAAACCGAAGUCCCCUUGACCGAAGAUGACAGCUUACGGCAUAAGAAAGGAGAUGAGUAUGGAGAAGCAGGGCACUUGCAAGGGGAAGAAGCAUCAUCGCUGAAAACUGAUGAGAAGGCUGAUGUGUUGGAAGAUGAAAGUAAAGCAUCAGAUUCUAAUGACGUGGAAAAAAUACCAGAUGUUUCAGAACAGGAUUUGGAAAGUGCUUACAGUAACAGGGAGGAAAGCAAAGAGGAUUUGCAAGGUGGUAGAAGGGCUAAGGGUAAAUCUAGAGAUGACUGUACAAUAUCCUAAGUUAAAAAUCUCAGGCUACACGAGAUACAUGCCAUUUGAUCAGUCUCAGUACAGAAGCAUGCACUUUGCACAACAAAUCAGGCCUUAGGAAUAUAGGAAUACUCUUAAGGGUUUUUUUUUCCUUAUAGGUAACUCUCAUCGUAAUACACUGCCAGGUCAUAUACAUGGUAAUGAUGCAACUAUUAAGUUAUUCACUGACGUACCUAGCCACAAAAAAUCAUGCGUGGGUUUGGUUUUGCUGUGUCUCAGGUUAAAUGUUACCAAAAGAGCAAGCUUCACAAAUAAGCUAUGCGGUCUAUCUUGCAAUUAAAGUACUUUUAGUGUGGAUAACUGCUACUGAGGAACUUUUAUAUGAAAUUCCUACUUUCUAGCCUACUAUAAUGAUAGGUUAUCUGAAUGUACUUCCAUGUGCAUUAGAUUGACAGUAUGUUAACGCCUUGUCAUGAAGGAACUCAGUAGGUCAGCAACACUGAGAUCUAAUGUUGAAACUUGUUGCUGAAUGAUUAAAGCCUAGGAACCAAUUUUUUGUUGCUGUGGAACAAGAUAAUGUCAUUCCACCUUUUGUAUCUUUCUAAUAUGGAUGUAUUCCAAAGUAUCAAUCACUGUGAAUCCACUUAGUCUAAACACUUUGGAGGAACAAUACACAGUUUGAAGGAAGUACAGCAUGCAGGUUGCUAAAAGAAACAAAUAUAUACCUGUUUACUUCAUCUAGGCACUUUGCACCACAAUAGGCCUUUUACACCAUGUCUCACGUGUUUUUUUUCCUAAGCAAGUAUCAGUACACACUGUAACGUGUGCUUAGGUUUGCUAUCCAGUACUGUCUAGCUAUGAAUAUUACAAAAUACCUAUUUUUCCAAGAAGGUUUUUGUUUAAAAUUACAUUCCUUACUGCGUUAUAUAUAUUUUUUUUUCCAAAAUAUUAUUCUGAAAGAAUGUUUUUUUCUCUGAAAAAUUCUUUCCUCUUUUUCUGGAGAGAGAUAACUUUGGAUGUCUUAGUCCUUACUGGGUGUUAGACCAAAGACUGUUGUUGUUUUCUAUACUAGCCCGUGAGCCUAUUUGAAAAGCUGGAGUACUUUGAAUUGUUGGCUUGAACUAGGCACUUCGACUCACUGCUAUAUUCCAUGCAUCUUUUGUAGUGCUUGGGAGGAAGAGCAUGUUUUGCAUAAGUUGUGUUAAGCAGUGAACAUCCAAAGGGAAUGCAAACUGAGCAGUCGGGAGGGGGGCUGUAGAAAGUUCUGUCUGUGUUGAUGUUACAAAGUUGAUGGAUUGCAAACAGACUGCAAAAUUUCAAGAUGUAUAUCAAAAUGUACUGAGCUGUAUAUAAUUGAAAUAAACAUAUUUUCUACUUUAAAUUGCCUGUCCAGAGCACUGUUUAUAAACCUGCAUAAAUAUUUUUUUUAAAUCUGUAUCAUUUCACAAACACCAUUUCUACAGCUUUCUUAAAUGUAUUGCGUUGUGCUGCAUAGAUAGUGGAGCUGUCCCGUUAGGAACAGACAGCCUUGGGGUUUGAGGUCAGUGAAUGCGAUGGCACCCAUAGCAGCACACCUGUGACAGAACUAUAAACCUCUAACUCCUUUCAUAUGACUUCUCUCCAACUUAAAACAGCUUCAGUAUGGUUUCUGUAAGUAUUAGCAGUUGUUUUUAUUAAGGGUUUACACUAAAUGCUAAUCUAAAAAGUCACAAAUCUUUAAAGCAUCUCUCCUUGCCAUGUAGUAGUGUUUAAAUAAAGAUUUUUCCCUUGCCACGUUCAACUGUAAUACAUGGUUUAAUGUUGAAAGUAUUUAAAGGUAUUUAUAUUUAAAUGUUAAGUACAGUUAAAUGUAUAACUAAAUGUUCUUGCCAGGCGUCACCUAACCUUGUGGAUGGAUAUGCGAUCAAUUUUCAGUUAAAUUAGGCAUGUGCCAACAUUUCCGAUAUUUUUCAGGAGUUAGAAACACAACAGGAGUGCUUCUGGAUGGUUGAAGGGCAGGUAAUCGUGACCUAUUUUUAACUAUUUUUUUCCACUUCAAGGAAGAAAAAGCAUCUAUAAGAGAAGUCCUUUUUUAAAGGCAAGUCACAGAAAGAAACAAUGACAACUCUAGUCUUAACUGUCCAUGUGCUUGCUUUUAUCCCACAGUAACUUGCCAAAUCUCAAUGAAACUAUAGUAGAAACAAGAACAUGGGCAGGCGAUGAACAGCUUAUGUACUGUAAGUCCUCCCUUGAAUGUUAGCUGCUCAGUGCCAGUGUUGGCAGCCGGUUCCUGACUUCUGGAAUUGGGCAAGUACCACAGAGAAGGAGGUGGUCCUGGUGUUUCUUAGCUCUUCAGGUUCUUCUUCAGUAUAUGCACAUCAAGGGAGAGGGGGAGGUCUCUCUGGUAAAUAAUCUUAAAGAUAACAGGAACUGCAAGAUGAUGUGUUCAGAGUUUGAAUCAAAUAUUAUAUGCGAGUUAGCUUUUGAACGAAAUGUAUUGCAUUAGAGUGAGGGGGAGGGGACUGUCUCAGGAGGAAAUACCUAUCAAAUGGAUGCCUUGUAAAGUUGCGUAAUUGAAAACCAUUUUUCAUGUUUUCCCUGUGAUAUCCCUAACAAAUACAAUAAUGGAUAUAUCUUGUCCCUUGCAUUGUUUUAGACUUUCAAAGACAGCAAAAUAACGUUCAAACUUUUAAGGGAGUUUACAAUGAAACCAAGAAAUCAUGAGAUGAACUAAAACCAGGAAUCUGAUUUUGCAAUGUAACCCAUUUUGUCUUGAGCAGAGGCAGCCAGCUUAUGGAGUACUGCAGCGAGCACAGGGUCACAAUGUGCAAGACUCUCCCUUUCCCUUUCCCUUUCCCUUUCCCUUUCCCUUUCCCUUUCCCUUUCCCUUUCCCUUUCCCUUUCCCUUUCCCUUUCCCUUUCCCUUUCCCUUUCCCUUUCCCUUUCCCUUUCCCUUUCCCUUUCCCUUUCCCUUUCCCUUUCCCUUUCCCUUUCCCUUUCCCUUUCCCUUUCCCUUUCCCUUUCCCUUUCCCUUUCCCUUUCCCUUUCCCUUUCCCUUUUUCCCAUGAUAGGCUGAUGGAUCCAGAGAAGCAAUAUUGCCCCACCUUCUGUUGGAUUCCUCCAGCUCCCUCGAGCUGUUGGUGUGUUUCCAUGGGACGCAGCCCUCACUGCUUGCCUUCCCACCCUCCAUGGACACUUUACCCUUUUCAGUUGCAUCCACAUUAAUUACUUGUUGGACUAUGCAAACCAUUAAAGUUAAAAAUAAUAGGUUCCCAUGCCACAAUUCCCUCAAAAUAGGAAGAGACAUCAACUGUCUGUGGGUUAUUAGGGGAUAUUAGGUCAAUUUUGCCACUGAAGCAGCACCAUAGUUAGCAAUACUUUGAGUCAACUGCAUUACCCAAGUAAUGAGAGUGCUCACGUGCCUUAAACUGGCCUGCACAAUAGCAGAAGACACUGAUAGCCACAGCUGCCACUCCCCUGUCUGUCCUGUUCACUUCCCUGGGUGAAUGGCAUUGUCCCCGGCUCCUGGGGCAGUGCUCUGUUAAGCUCUUUUGUGUAUGUAAGCCAUGAAUUGGUGCACUGAGUAGGUUGGAAAUCAUCUUACCAACAUUAAAUCUCACUGAGAUGAAUUUCAGAGUAUUCAUUCGUUGUAGUAUCUCCAUAUGUGAAAUAUGGAUAAUGAGUGUUUUACAUGGGAGUUGUAAUUAGCUGCUUCACAUGCUAAUUCAGGACAUUGUUCUUUUCCACAUAUAGCUCUAGAAGCCCUCAGAUCCUUGAUUUGCUGGAAAAAUGUCUCCUAAAAGCAAAAAUAAAGUUUUAUGAAAAGAUCUAUUAAAGCUAGAGUAAGUUUUAUGUAUCAGUGUGGGGUUGUAGGAUACAUGAAACUGAAGAACUUUAUCUACACAUGCAGAAAGCUUUUCUACAUAAGCAGCAAUUUUAGCAAACUAGUAUUUUCUGUGAUCUUGUAAAUCCUGCUGCCAGCAUGUCAUCUGUCCUAGUGUGAUGCAGAUGCCCAUCAUGAGGGAAGAGAGAAGUGAUGGUGAGACCCAAUUUGAAGGUUCGCCCCAAAAUGCUAACACUGGUUUUGCAGGGAGAGAGGCUGGGUGAAGAUGAUGUGCUUCCUUACUGGGUACUGGAGGUGUCCUUUCAUUAGGCGGACGUAUUUCACCCCACAACAGUAGUUGUGGUAAUAAAAGUAUUUCAACUGCAUGUAUGACUGACUUCCUUUUAGGAUUAAGGUAGAUUAUUUGGCCCCUUUAGAGCCUGCGAGUUUGGGAUAGCUUUAUAGUGGCCUCCAGAUUUUCUUCUGCACCAGUCCUUUCCUAAUCCUAUGUAACUUCAUUUCUUGAUCUCUGCUGACCUGUGACACCCAAUUCUAUCUUCAUUCUGAAUAUCUACGACUUUCCUUUUAGUGUUUGCCCUCCUUGCUUUCUUCAUUGGACUUCAUUGCUCCACCUUCAUAUUUUUACAGAAUUUCUGUCUUCAGCUUCCCAUAUAAGUAUGUGAAACUGUUUUAUUCUUUUAAAGGAUAUUUUUCUCUUGUUAGUUUACAAAAACAUGAACGUGUUUUCCUCCCACAUCAAUGCUCAGGUGUAACAAUGCUGGGCAUGUUACAAAUAGCUAAUAAAAAAGAUAGGUUCAAAGUGAAUGUGUGGAACUGCUGAACUGGGAUGUCACUUUACGGUCUGUAUUUGAGUACUGCAUCAGAAGCCAAGGUAGAGGUUUUAUUCCCUGCUCUAGAAUGACUGCUGGUACAUGGGAACUUGGAUACACAGGAGAGAAAUGACUUACCACGAAUUACUAGGUAAUGGACUGUUCCCGUCUGCCAAAUAGAUGGAGUUUCAUUUGGAAACUUCAGUUUUCCCCAUGGCUUGGUUGAUACAGACUGUUUAUUCUCUUUAUUGAAUGUGUUAACAAGAAAAAAAGGGUGAACCGCAAGACUUUGGCCUGUUAGGGAUUUAACAAUGAACGAGGAUAACAGCGUAUUGUAUUUUAAAAUGAUUUUCAAAGCUUUUCAAAAAUAUUUGUCUGUCAACAUGAAAAUCCAGCCAGUUUACCUGGUAAAAGCCCAGCAUUCUCUUGUCUGUGACCUAUAAAUUGCUUGCCUUGAGUUUACAAAAGUUUUUUUUUUCCUGUGAGUGACCUUUGGAUUUUAACAAUUUAAUAACUAACAGGCAAGACCUUAGAUGUGGAGUUGAGCUCUGCACACCCCCUGGCUUGGUUCUGAGCAGUGACUGCUUGCUGGCAAGGGAAGUAAACCAAAUAAAACCACAAUGUCAACACGUGUCAAAGCUGUGGAGUAAGACCUGUCUGAGGUCAAUAUACCCCCUUCUAAUAAUAACAUUUGAAGGCUAUGUUCCAGUGUACUUCCAUUGAGGUAACUGAACAAACUAAGGUUGUUAAUGAAUGAGGUAAAGUGAUUUUAGCGAUCUAAAAAAUUGUGAGUAAAGAUUUGUUGCGUACAGUUCUUGCUAAAAUGCUUUCACAUUUUGCAUUGAUAGGAAAGAAGAAACAACGGAUUUGGUUACUUGCCUCUAUUUCUUUUUUCCAAUUGUCUCAUUCUGUACUGUGUACGUAGUUAAUCAAUGUCCACACAUCUGCGUGCUGAUCUGUAGCACUUGCAGGUUCAAGUCUAACACCACAACAGUUGGUCCGGAUUGCCCAUUGCCUUCUUGAUGUCUGACUGAGAGGAUUUACUCUGAAGGAUAAAAGAGAAAAUGUUUUACCAGACUGCUGUGUUUGAAAUAAAAAUAAUUUCAUGGUCGUAAUGCUGGGGAUAACACAAUGUCAUUGUCAUGCUGUUUAGUAAAAGAACUGAGGAUUUUAAGUGUUGAGAAUGUGCUUAGCUGUGAUUACAGGUGUUUACCGUAUUUUUAUGAUGUUGAAUUGUAAAGAUCUGUGAGAUUUUGUGUUGCAGUUGUGUUUGACCCUAGAGUUCUUGCAUGCUAACCUAACGUAGAAGAUUAGCCUCUUUGCAUGCAGCUGGGUGCUGCUACUGCCGUGACAAGCAUGCUCUGUGAGAAUGACAUAACCUCCCCUGGCUGCAGCCCCUUCCCAGUCCUGUCUGUGGCCUCAUUUCCUGUGACAGGCUGAGGAAACUCAUUGAUGAACGGGAAUCCUUACUAGACCAGGU